rnacentral:lncRNA from 1 species
UUUUUUUUUAAGAAGCUUCUGGUCAGGCUGGACCACAGCCUUUCUAGAUUUUUCUGUUGUUCUCUAGCCACCUUUGGUUAUUUUCCCCUUCUAACAUCUUCUAUCUGUGUCCUUUUCAUUUCAGCCAAUGCUCUGUGCGUUCUGACUUGGUUUUAUGAAUAGUUUCCCCUUCUCAACCUCAGCUAUGCACCUCUGUGUACCAGGCCUGCUGGAGGUAUUUCCAGGGUGCCAGUUCACAUAGUCCUCAGCUGUCUGUGGGAGGAGGAAUAAUGACACUCUCUUCACAGAGGGGGAUCUUGAGGCACAGAGAGGUUUGACAGCUUGCUAGGCACAUUCACACAUGUGCAGAUGCCUGUGCACACAUGUGCAUAUACAUGCACACAAACACACAGGCAGGGGCGGAAGUGAGCCUGAGGGUCUGGCCCCAGGAUCAUGCACUUCUCCUCUGCAUAGCACUUAUGCUGAGAGGUAUGUAGUUCUUCCUUAAAUUAGAAGCUCUUGUUUGAAUAACAACCACCAUUACAAAAAUUCGAGUUUUUUUCCUAAUGUCUCACAAAAAUAUCUAGAUUGACAAAUAAUUCUGCAAAGAUUUCUGAGAAAAUAAUUCUGCCAUUAUAGUUUUACCAAUGGAAAGUUCUUGAGACAUGGAUACAACAAUCAAAAUAAAUUUGUGCUGUCAUAUUUUGGGGCAGUAUUGCAAGUUAAAAUUAGUCUGUCUCAGGCUUGGAUUAUUAUUAUUGUCACUUCUUAUUGCUGCAUUAAUCACCAAACAUACUGAGAGAGAUUAAUGAAGUUAAUUGUUUUUAGAAACAGAAUUAAAUGCAAGUGCUAAUGCUGGGUGACUGACCCUGACACUGUGCCCUUAUUUCAAUGGAAGAAUGGACAGGCCUUUCCACAGUCCUUCCAGAGACUUGAUUGUUUCAAAUGUCACCUUGAUGCUCAGUAUCAAUUUUCUUUGUAGUUGGUUUCACAGCCCUUUUCACUUUUAGUUAGUUUAUGGAAUACAUCUGUGAGUUACAGUUCAAAGGUUUUAUGUCUGCCAAGUAGAAAUGAUUCAGAGAUUAUUUUUAAAUGGGCACCUAAAUGAGUUUGCUAGGGAUGCCAUAACAGAAUACCAAGACCUUUUUUUUUUCUCACAGUUCUGGAGGUUGCAAGUCCAGGAUCAAGGUGUGGGUAGGUGUGGUUUCUCCUGAGGCCUCUCUUUGGCUGGCAGUUGGCUCUUAUCUCUGCCUUUUUUCUGUGCACAUGCAUUCCCUGCAUCUCUUCCUUUUUGGGAGAGGGGUACUGGGGAUUAGGAGCACUUAAUCACUGAGCCACAUCCCCAGCCCUUUUUAUGUUUUUAUUUAGAGACAAAGUCUUGCUGAGUUCCUUAGGGCCUCAUUAAGUUACUGAGGCUGGCUCUGAACUCACAAUCCUCCUGCCUCAGCCUCCUAAGUCACCGGGAUUAUAGGCGUGCACCACUUUACCCUCUUCUUUUAAGGACAUCAGUGUUAUGGGAUCAGGAUCUGACCUAGUUUUAACUUAGUUACCUCUUUAAAGACACACUAUUUAAGGUGUUAAGACUUCAACGUAUGCAUUUUGGUGGAACAAAACAAAAUCUCUAAUCAAUUUCUGAAGGCCAUGGGAUCAAGGUGUGAGAAAAGGAAAAUGUAUUGUGAAAAAUAUUUCAUGGGGGCUGGGGCUAUAGCUCAGUGGAAGAGCACUUGCCUAGCUUGUGUGAGGCACUGGGUUCAAUCCUCAGCACCACAUAAAAAUAAGUAAAUAAAAUAAAAGGCAUGCUGUCUGUGUACAACUACGAAAAGAAUUUUAAAAAGAAAAAAAAAAUCAUGGGACGGUUCUAGGCUCUUCCUUUGGUCCAAAACAUAAUUCUCAAAUUCCACAUUUCAAGAGAGUGGAAAGUCAUUUACUGUACUGCAGAAUUUUAUUUUCAAACUCCAUUUCUAAUGGAGUACUAUACAGGCUGGGAAAUCUUAAAUUUAAAAGCUGUCCACUAAUAGUAGAUUUCUCUCUCUCUCUCUCUCUCUCUCUCUCUCUCUCUCUCUCAGAUAUUGAAAUCAGGGAACUUAACCCAUGAGCCACACUCCCAGCCCUUUUAUUGUAUUUUAUUUUGAGACAGGGUCUCACUGAGUUGCUUAGCAUCUCACUAAGUUGCUGAGGCUGGCUUUGAACUUGUGAUCCUCUUUCCUCAGCCUCCUAUACUCAACUAUCUUUUUUUUUUUUUAAUCUGAGUUUAAAGUGAGGAAAAUCCUUAGAAACCAAAAAUAAGGAACUGAAAUUCAGACAGCAUGAUAGUUGGCUCACAGACCCCAAACCCUGGGGGAGACAUGGCAGAGGGGACCCUCCCCAGCAACACAGUGGAAUGGCAAGGAAGGGCCCCGCAUCCUUGGAUGUCAGCAUGGGCUCUGAAUGGAGGCACACAUCUCCUUGAGAAAUGGUAAAUGAGGCCAGCUUCUAUGAGUGGGGUUCAGAUUACACUGUCUGGUCUGGCUGUUCCAUUCUAAGAAAUCCUUGGUAAGGACUUUCAGGCACCUUCCUCUUCAUCUGGAAGAAACACAAGCAGCAUUUCUUGAAAGAAUUGCUGUCUACACCACGGGCCCCAUAAGAUCUUCCUGACGGGCCUGGUGAAGUCAAGUGUGUGAUCCAUAGUCGCCUGCAUGAGAGCAAGAAGGAGCAGACAAAAACCAACAGGAGGACUGACUCCUAGGGCCCCAGGUGACAAAAUAUCUGCAUAUACAACACUAAGUGCACAUACAAGUGUGCCCAAAUGGUUAAGUUUAUUAUAAUGGGAAACAUGAGAAAAGAAGCAGAGCCUAUCAAGUAAAGACCUGAUGAGUUGGAGACCACAAGGCAUAAGCUCUCGCAGUCAAAUGCAAAAUGAUUAGAAAUGAAUUCCUAGGAUAAAAAAUGGAUCACUAAACAGGAUCCUAUUUCUUUCCAAAGUAGAAUGCCCCUGCUCCAUGAAAGAAGUGUUGGGGCAGAGGGAGAUUGUGGUUCCAAUCCCAGACCAGAAUGGGCACUGUUUAAACUGUUUAAACACAACCCUUUAUUUUACUUGAUGCCUGUUUUGCCCUCAUCUGAGGGACAGCUGCUAGGGUACCAUUGUCCCUGAGAAGCAAGCGUCAUCGUCUUCCUGAAGUCUGAGAAAUUUAAGACUAAUCAACUUGGAGCAUGUGAGGCUGAGGUGAUUUCACAGUCUCUUCCUGUUCAUCAGCAUCAUCAGCUUGCCCUGGACUUUUGUGAACCAGCAAGGUCCACCCAGAUUUGGGACUCCGGAGGAGCUGGAGUGACAAAUGGACCAUACUGUGGGAUGUGGCUGCUUCAUGGCCGAAGACCCAGUAGCUGCCCUGAGUAGGGCAAGGGUGGGACUCAAGAACCUGGAGUAAAUGCAAACAACAACAACAACAAAAUCCAGCCCUUCUUUCCAUCAAGCACUCCCCUCCUUGAGAGUUGGUAAAUGAGGCCUGUGGUGUAAACUGCUGUUCCCUCCUUUGAAUGUCUCCAUCUUGGAGUUUUCUCCCCUUUAUGCAGAUGAAGCAACCACUGUCCAUGUAAAAUAACAACUGUGCUUUAAAGGAAACAAGAAAAUAGUUUAUCCUAAGCCAAACAAGAGUGACUGUGGUCUGGGAAAUGGCAUUGCAUGACAUAAUCCACCAUGCAACUUUUACAGCCACAAAACAAGGGGAGUCCUAAUCAAUACAUUUAGCAAACAUUUGGUAGGUCAUCAGGUAGGCUGGCUAUAAGCAAAGGGAGAAAAUCUUUCCUGUAAUUUUAGCCAUUACCUUAAACAUGCUUAGCUUGGUGGAUGCUUAUAGGUCUGCAAAGUUUAGUGGUUUAUUCUGGGAGUUUUAUCUGAAGUUAUAAUGGCAGAUACAGGAGAUGAAAUUAAGUGGCUACUAAAGAGCCUAAGAAAUACCAAGAUGCUUGGGAUCCCGAUCUGAAAUCUUCCAUCUCUCCACAAUCGCAGUCCUCUUGCUCAGCCAGUCAAGCAGUCUGCAAGAUCUUUUAUAUGGGUGCAGCUUCUUCAGAGACCCUCAGCUCCACACCACCAUGUGAGGUCAGCUUUUUGGAUAUAUGGCUAGUAUUUCUAAACUCUAUUCUAUGGGACACUAUGGUGCUAAAAGAUGAUAACAGCAUUACUGCAAAACCAAAAAUAGAUCAAAACAAAAACUGAGUCAAAUGCAUCUGGGGCCAGGCAUACCAGUAAUCCUAGCAACCUGGUAGGGUGAGGCAGGUGGAUCACAAGUUUGAGGCCAGCCUGGACAAUUUAGUGAGAUCCUGUCUCAAAAUUUAAAAAAGGGUUGGGGAUGUUGCUCAAUGGUAAAGCUCCCCUGGGUUCAAUCCCCAGUGCAUCCGUGCACACACACAUACACACACACACAUACACACAGAAAAAAAGAAACAUCUGGGGAUACUGCAUGCUCCAUGUCCCUCAUAAAUCUUCAUGUUGCACAUUAGCACUCUAAAUUUUAUUGUAGUGAUGGUUGCAUAACUUUGAAUUCACUCAAACCACUGUAUUAUAUAAUUUACAUGAAUGAAUUGUACAUAAAUUAGAUCUUGAUGAAACUUUUGUUGGGGGAGAUUGAACCCAAUGUGAAGAAUGUGAAUCCAAGGGCACUUAACCACGGAGCCACAUCCCCAUCCAUUUUUUUAUGUUUUAUUUAGAGACAGGGUCUCACUAAGUUGCUUAGGGCCUUUCCAAGUUCCUGAGGCUGGCUUGAACUCACAAUUCUCCUGCCUCAGCUUCCCGAGCUGCUGGAUUACAUGCGUGUGCCACCAUACACAACUGCAAUGAGGCUGUUUUCCUAAAAACAGAAUGAACAUCUACCAAUAGGAGGGUUUCACAGCACAGCCUGGGAAGGGAUGCUCUGGACAUCUUUGCCACUCCUGACUAGGCUCUGUGACUAACAUAGUAGCUGUUCUGUAUCACCAGCUAUGUCAACUAUCAAAAGCAUCACUGGUAUUUGAGAAAAUGCUCACAGGGUAGGACAGGGUUUAGGGAGCCCCUGUAUCAAUAAGAUGUGCAGAACUAAGUAGCCACUGUUACACAUGCUUCACACUUUGGUUAUGUGACUGUUCUUACAAAAUACAUGAGAGGUAACCAAAAAGGGACCCCAGAGUCUUGUAAAGUUUCUAACAUCUGGAGUAAGGGAUAGCAUUGCACAGGUAACACAUUGAAUCUCCUCCAGUUAAUGAUUGUCACUGCCAGGGUCUUCAAACUGACUUGUGGCCACUGGGCAAACCUCUGAGGCAGUUCCCCAUCUGUACUAAUCAUACUUGCCUUUUGUUUUCAUUUCAGUGAAAGCUGGUGGAAUGUAGAUCAUGCAGAAACACCCACAUGCUAGAGACACCAAGGAAGAAAGAGACAAGGAUUACCAGGAAUGGGAAAGCCCCAAAUGGUAGACGUCUGGUGACUCUUAACAAACUUUGCAAAUAAUGAUUGUUCUGUUAAACAUUAGUGUUUGUCCUUCCUCUGUUCUGAUAACUCCUGGGCAGCUGGACCUGUGCUGUGUAUUCUUGCUUUCCCUGUCAAUGAGGUAGAGUUCUGUGCCACUUGGGCAGGAGACAGGGCAUGUAAAUUACACCAUUUUCUCUGUUGACAACUCAUGAGCCCAGGCAGGUGCAGGGACUGCAGUGAUGUUGGCACGCACAGGCAGCCUCUCUAUGCCUUGGGUAAGUCAGGGCUCCUCCCUUCCUGAAAGCCAAGGCGCUGUGCCAGCAGGAGCAGGAGACCCUGGAGAAGCUUACUGUGGAUCCUGGGUCUCCGGUGGGGCACAAAGCCACCAUCAUUUCCCUCCAUGCCCGAGUGGAGGAAAUAGGUUAAUUCUUGGGGCUGCAGGUCCUUUACACUCUAGGUUUCCGUUUACUAUUCCAUAGAAGUGUGCACUAACAAUCUGUGGACUGCAGUUCUCCAUUGGAGCUACAGUUCUGAAACCCUUGGGAACCCUGAGAUACUACACUAGUUGAAUCUUGGCCAUCUGCGCAGCUGGGAUGGAAAACUUCUGGUUUAAGAAAUGUUUAUGGGAAAACCUUACGUGACAUCUCUGCUCCCUUUGGGUCUUGGAACCUCUCUGCUUCCCUUUCUGUUGGGCACCUCUUUUCCUUGGAGGUUCUGAGUUCAAGCUUGGCUCAAGGGCCUUGUCCUUUGCUGUGCUUGACCUUGCUAUGUACAAGCAGGCACCACAGACACAUGCACCUCUCUAGUUGUCCAUGAGGAAGAAUGUGAGCAUCCAAUUUUCUGCUUAUAACUUGUCUCCAGACAGCAGAGGAGGAAACAAAGGGUGGGAGGGAAGGAGGGCGUGGACAGCAGUGAGCUCUUGCUCCUGUGGGCCAGGCACACGAUCUGACUUCAUUUCACUCCUGUAGUGCUGAGCAGCAGGUAGUAUUCUCCCCAAUUUACACACAAGGAAACGGGAUCCCACAUCACCCUCCUUCCCAGUUAAUAGAGCAGUCAUUUAAAUGCAGUCUAGUGGGGUUCAGAGAAGGCCAGGUUUCCAAAAGGGGACUCCUGGCAGUGCACACCAACAGGAAGGCAGGUAUACUUGGUACCAUGUGUCUGUGGCAGGUAUCCCCCGCUGGGCAUUUUCCAUAAGCCUUGUAUAGGUGCUUCAGAUUCUAACCUCUCAUUCACCCAAAAGAUUGCUCGCUCUCUCUCUCUCUCUCUCUCUCUCUCUCUCUCUCUCUCUCUGUAGACCCAAGGUUUUGAAGCAAGCUGACCACAGACUACAGACCCAGUUAAGCGCUACUUGAGGGGACGACAUCUGCAUGAAGUUUCUGUGCAGUCAUUUCCCAUUUUGAAUUGAGUCAGCAAUGUCAAAGAAAAUUCAGUCUAAGUCCUGGUUUUAUUUUUUUUUUUAAUUCUUUUUGUCCAUUUGUUUGAUGCUGGGGUUGAACUCUGAGCCCUAAACAUGCUAAGCAUAUACCUGAAUUCUGGUUUUAAAAGAAGAAAGUAGUUUAAAGAAAAUUCCACGAUUAUUUCUCACUGACUGUUUUCCAGAGCUGCAUAUGGGUUGCAAGGGCAGCAGUAACUCCUCCAGGUCCACACCCUGGGGCCCAGAAUGUCUCAGGCUCCAUAAAGUUUUGAGGUUUUAGAGAGUGAUGCACAUGUGAUGCACUAAUGCACACACCAUCCAGCUGCCAGGGCACAGGCACCUGUCACAAGCUGCUCACUGCCCUCCAGCCAGGUGGGCUGAAUGCUCACCUAGAGGGAUCUGUAAAUAGUGCAGGUGAAGUUUUGCCUCCAUAGGGGACAUAGGGAAACUCACAAUUUCAGAACAUUCCAGAAUAGAGGGCAAGAGGAUCUGGCCUGCAGCGGUGUACUCCUCUGGGACACCUGCUGCUGCCGUCCUUCCUCAAGAUGCAGGAAGAGGUUAAGAGAGAGAAGGUGCUGCUGGAGUGAGGUCCUGCAUGGGUAGGGAAGGUGCCUUUCUGAGUGUCCCUGGGGCAAGGACACAUGGCUCGUCCCCUGACCAGUCAAGUGCCAAGAAGCCAGAGAUGCAUGCUUAGAAAUAAGGGCAGAAUGGUUUGUCAGUUUUAUUUCUACUGAUUUUCCCCUGAAAUCAAAUACAGCAUAUAUGGAAGAUGAGCAGUUUAAAUAACUGUGCCAGAGGAUGAACAGUGGAAACGGAAAAGGUGGCUCUCCCCAGCGCUUCAGAUCUAUCUCCUUCACCAGAAAGAUCACUCUCUCUCUCUGUGUAGACCUGAGGUUUUAAAUCAAGCUGACAACAGAGUACAGGCCACAGCUGGUUAUUCAACCCAGUGACAACUGGCCCGUCAGUGUCCUGGCCAGGACCGCCUCUCAGGUCUGUCUUGACUUAGCUGCUGUGUGGAAUCUGCAGACAUGGUUGGGGGCUUUGAUUGUCAGUCUCUGCAGCUGAGCUGCAGUGUGUCACUCUUGUCCUCUUCACCCUGGCUGACUCCUGUCCAGCAUGGGUUAAACCACGUGACACAGAACACAUGGAGUGCAGGGAGGUGUUGUCUUCAGCUUCUGACCUGUGUCAUCAACACAGCUCCUAAAAACCCACAUCAGGCCAUGGACCCUGCAUAACUGUUUACUUCUACCACCAGGUCCACCCCAUUUUCCUGUUGGUAGUUGAAUAAUUGGUCAUCAUUGCUAGCUCUUAUGGAGAGCAGGGAAUCUGCUAGUUCUAAGUGCUCUGUCCCCCUUAAUUCAUUGAAUUCUCAUAACUGCUCUGUUAUUUUCACUAUUUCAAAGAUGAUUAGUGAUUAUUAUCUUCAUUUCAGAUUCUAAUCUCUUUUUGGUGGCUCAGAGAGUUAAGUGAGUUUUCUAAGGUCACACAGCAAGUAAGUGGCAGAGUGCUGGCAGCUGGGUUCAGAUUCUUCACUCUUAGCCAUGAAGCUGUGCCUGCUGAUUCCCAUUUCACAUCAGGUUUAAUGCCACUUACACCUUGGGGUUAAUGUGCCCCUCAUAGAGAUGAAGAAGGAAGGCUUAGGGUAGUUAUCCAACCCCGUGAUAGGUAGCCGGUCAGUGGCCUGGCCAGGAUUGAUCUCUGAGUCAGUCUUGACUUAAAAGCUUUGUUAGUUAACUUUCCACUGUGAAAAAAUACCUGAGAGAAACAACUCAAAAGAGGAAAGACAUUUGGCUCAUAGUUUCUGAGUUUUCAAUACAUGGGCAGCUGGUUCUGUUGCUCUGGGCCUAAGGUGAGACAGAACACCAUGGCAGAAGAGCACCGCAGAAGGAUAAUGCCAUCUCAUGACAGCCAGGAAGCAGGUGG